UCUUCGGAAUUCCGAUACGUUCGAUACGCAUUGUCGAUCGCGGGAUUAUUUGUUGUCGGCCAUGGAAAUGUUUUCCCCCUCUUCAUCAACCCCCGCAUGAUUUUUCAUUUGCGUCAGACUAGUCGCGGCUAGUCAUCGUCUGUGCCAUGCCUAUGUGAAUCUAGAUCACAGACUACGGCGCACUUAUUAUUUAGUUUAUGAGUGAUGUAAUAGGCAAACAGGACGGUGUGUACUUGAAAUCGCAAAUGUAAUCGGCUUCUUACAUCUAUUAUGCAUUUUAUCAUAUUAUUGAAAGAAAUCUUAUGAUAAUUCGCAGAUUCAUGGCGAGGAGAAGGUCAGAUAUGAUUGUUAUAUUAUACGAGAUUAUUGCGGAAUGUGUUGAUCGAGGAAAUAGCGAUUUUUGGAAAAAUCUCAUCUAUAGAGUCAAUCUUCAAUUUUAAUUUUUGUAGUAAGCAGAAUGGAAUGUGGAAUUAAAAAUAGGAAUUGCAUUGAUAUUUGCUAGAUGUCCUAAGAACCACGACGUGUCACGAAGAAAGCUCAGAGACAACUGUGUCUUGUAUAAUACGAGAUUGCAGACUAUUGUAUUGAGAUCGAAGGCAUUUCUAGAAAAUCUAAUCUCUGGAGUUGAGAAAUCUUUGAUCUUAAGUUUCAUUGGAAAUAAAAUUGGAGUAUUAUUACGAAAUAU